rnacentral:rRNA from 1 species
UGGCUCAGGAUGAACGCUGGCGGCGUGCUUAACACAUGCAAGUCGAACGAGCGAGAGAGAGCUUGCUUUCUCAAGCGAGUGGCGAACGGGUGAGUAACGCGUGAGGAACCUGCCUCAAAGAGGGGGGACAACAGUUUGGAAACGACUGCUAAUACCGCAUAAGCCCACGACCCGGCAUCGGGUAGAGGGAAAAGGAGCAAUCCGCUUUGAGAUGGCCUCGCGUCCGAUUAGCUGGUUGGUGAGGUAACGGCCCACCAAGGCGACGAUCGGUAGCCGGACUGAGAGGUUGAACGGCCACAUUGGGACUGAGACACGGCCCAGACUCCUACGGGAGGCAGCAGUGGGGAAUAUUGCACAAUGGGGGAAACCCUGAUGCAGCGACGCCGCGUGGAGGAAGAAGGUCUUCGGAUUGUAAACUCCUGUUGUUGGGGAAGAUGAUGACGGUACCCAACAAGGAAGUGACGGCUAACUACGUG